UAAUACGGAGGGUGCAAGCGUUAUCCGGAUUCACUGGGUUUAAAGGGUGCGUAGGCGGGCAGGUAAGUCAGUGGUGAAAUCUCCGGGCUUAACCCGGAAACUGCCGUUGAUACUAUCUGUCUUGAAUAUCGUGGAGGUGAGCGGAAUAUGUCAUGUAGCGGUGAAAUGCUUAGAUAUGACAUAGAACACCAAUUGCGAAGGCAGCUCGCUACACGGUUAUUGACGCUGAGGCACGAAAGCGUGGGGAUCAAACAGGAUUAGAUACCCUGGUAGUCCACGCCCUAAACGAUGAUUACUCGACAUCAGCGAUACACUGUUGGUGUCUGAGCGAAAGCAUUAAGUAAUCCACCUGGGAAGUACGACCGCAAGGUUG
rnacentral:rRNA from 1 species